rnacentral:rRNA from 2 species
UUGAUUGAUGGUGCUUGCACCUGAUUGAUUUUGGUCGCCAACGAGUGGCGGACGGGUGAGUAACACGUAGGUAACCUGCCCAGAAGCGGGGGACAACAUUUGGAAACAGAUGCUAAUACCGCAUAACAGCGUUGUUCGCAUGAACAACGCUUAAAAGAUGGCUUCUCGCUAUCACUUCUGGAUGGACCUGCGGUGCAUUAGCUUGUUGGUGGGGUAACGGCCUACCAAGGCGAUGAUGCAUAGCCGAGUUGAGAGACUGAUCGGCCACAAUGGGACUGAGACACGGCCCAUACUCCUACGGGAGGCAGCAGUAGGGAAUCUUCCACAAUGGGCGCAAGCCUGAUGGAGCAACACCGCGUGAGUGAAGAAGGGUUUCGGCUCGUAAAGCUCUGUUGUUAAAGAAGAACACGUAUGAGAGUAACUGUUCAUACGUUGACGGUAUUUAACCAGAAAGUCACGGCUAACUACGUGCCAGCAGCCGCGGUAAUACGUAGGUGGCAAGCGUUAUCCGGAUUUAUUGGGCGUAAAGAGAGUGCAGGCGGUUUUCUAAGUCUGAUGUGAAAGCCUUCGGCUUAACCGGAGAAGUGCAUCGGAAACUGGAUAACUUGAGUGCAGAAGAGGGUAGUGGAACUCCAUGUGUAGCGGUGGAAUGCGUAGAUAUAUGGAAGAACACCAGUGGCGAAGGCGGCUACCUGGUCUGCAACUGACGCUGAGACUCGAAAGCAUGGGUAGCGAACAGGAUUAGAUACCCUGGUAGUCCAUGCCGUAAACGAUGAGUGCUAGGUGUUGGAGGGUUUCCGCCCUUCAGUGCCGGAGCUAACGCAUUAAGCACUCCGCCUGGGGAGUACGACCGCAAGGUUGAAACUCAAAGGAAUUGACGGGGGCCCGCACAAGCGGUGGAGCAUGUGGUUUAAUUCGAAGCUACGCGAAGAACCUUACCAGGUCUUGACAUCUUGCGCCAACCCUAGAGAUAGGGCGUUUCCUUCGGGAACGCAAUGACAGGUGGUGCAUGGUCGUCGUCAGCUCGUGUCGUGAGAUGUUGGGUUAAGUCCCGCAACGAGCGCAACCCUUGUUACUAGUUGCCAGCAUUAAGUUGGGCACUCUAGUGAGACUGCCGGUGACAAACCGGAGGAAGGUGGGGACGACGUCAGAUCAUCAUGCCCCUUAUGACCUGGGCUACACACGUGCUACAAUGGACGGUACAACGAGUCGCGAACUCGCGAGGGCAAGCAAAUCUCUUAAAACCGUUCUCAGUUCGGACUGCAGGCUGCAACUCGCCUGCACGAAGUCGGAAUCGCUAGUAAUCGCGGAUCAGCAUGCCGCGGUGAAUACGUUCCCGGGCCUUGUACACACCGCCCGUCACACCAUGAGAGUUUGUAACACCCAAAGUCGGUGGGGUAACCUUUUAGGAGCCAGCCG